rnacentral:lncRNA from 1 species
AAUUAUUUCAGUUACGAGAAGUAAUUGUCUGUGGUCAUGCUAAAAUUAAUUCUGUUUGCAAUAACUUAAUAGAAAAGUAGUGUACUUUCCAGGCCUUCACAGGCAGACCUUCUAAAAUGGAAAUUAAAAUGUGGAGGGAGCAUUCAUGUUCUUUGCAAAUGAGAGAAAAUCUGGCAAGGGAUCAUGGAGAAAAACAGAAAGCUUCGGUUUAGAAGUCUUUCCUAGGCAUCUUUUACCUCAAAGUCUCCAUCACAAAGAAAACGUGUUUUUCAAAAAGCAUGCAGCAUCUUCCCACAUUGAAAGGCUUGUUUGAGAAAAAGACACUACAAAAAGGUAAUUAACAGUCAUUAUUUCUAGGGUCAGUCCAUCAG